rnacentral:rRNA from 1 species
GUCGAACGCGAAAGUCCCCUUCGGGGGGCGAGUAGAGUGGCGCACGGGUGAGUAACACGUAGGUAAUCUACCUUUGGAUGGGGAAUAACAACCGGAAACGGUUGCUAAUACCGCAUAAUGCAGCGGCACCUAAUGGUGACAGUCGUUAAAGCGGGGGAUCGCAAGACCUCGCGUCUGAAGAGGAGCCUGCGGCAGAUUAGCUAGUUGGUAGGGUAACGGCUUACCAAGGCGAUGAUCUGUAGCCGGCCUGAGAGGGCGGUCGGCCACACUGACACUGACAUACGGGUCAGACUCCUACGGGAGGCAGCAGUCGGGAAUUUUGGGCAAUGGGCGAAAGCCUGACCCAGCAACGCCGCGUGAAGGAUGAAAUCCCUCGGGAUGUAAACUUCGCAAGAACGGGAAGAAUAAGUAAGAGUUAAUAUCUCUUAUGAUGACGGUACUGUUUGUAAGCUCCGGCUAACUCCGUGCCAGCAGCCGCGGUAAUACGGGGGGAGCAAGCGUUGUUCGGAUUUACUGGGCGUAAAGGGCGCGUAGGCGGCCACCGCAAGUCGACUGUGAAAUCUCCGGGCUUAACUCGGAAAGGUCAGCCGAUACUGCGGGGCUAGAGUGCAGAAGGGGCAACUGGAAUUCUCGGUGUAGCGGUGAAAUGCGUAGAUUUCGAGAGGAACACCUGCGGCGAAGGCGGGUUGCUGGGCUGACACUGACGCUGAGGCGCGAAAGCUAGGGGAGCGAACGGGAUUAGAUACCCCGGUAGUCCUAGCCUUAAACGAUGAAUGCUUGGUGUCUGGGGUUUUAUAG